rnacentral:lncRNA from 1 species
UUGAAAAUAAUUCCACACGGGCAUGUGACUUGGCCUUGUGAAACUAGUUUGUUCAUAAGUAAUAAGUCAAAGAAGUACACGGGUAAAGGACACGGGCAUGUCCUAAUCGUGUGAGUCACACAGGGUGACAACAUGGUGGUACUAUUCAUUAAUGGAAAUUUUGGAAAUUUUAUGAAAAAUUUUAUAAGCAUUCGAAUAGAUUUUGAUUUAUUUCUAAUAUCUU